ensembl:lncRNA
UUCACCUGAGGUCACCUUGAAGUCGGUUCAUGUGGGGGAUGCCGUCACACUGCCCGUGACCCUUCCCAAGGGCCAGAGGCUCACCAACCUCCUCCUGAGGGACUCCUUGAGAAAACAAGCCAUCGCCAUCUGGAUGGAGUCCAAAAUGAUCACGAUUCUAGACAUUGACUACGCCAACCGGGUGGCCUUCCAGGAAGACCAGAUGGCCUUCAGAAUUGCCAACCUCAGCUUGGGCGACGGGACCACCUACGAAAUCUCCACCAGCUUCAGCACUUCCACACCAAAACUGCUCAGCAGCUUUCUGGUGGCUGUAUUCAACAUCACCGAAAGGGUCUCCUCCUUGGGGAAUGAUUCCUGCCACAUUUAUCUGGACUGUCAGGCAGGGAUGGGGCGCGGUCAGAGAGUGACCUACACCUGGAAGGACACCGAGGCCGGCACCACCCUGAGCCAGGUGGCCUGGCUCACUCAGCUGGUGCACCGCAACCAGAGGAAGGCCUACACCUGCAUGGCCCAGACCUCUACCGCCCAGAGCUCCUUCAGCCUCGUCCUCCAGCACUCCUGUAUUCCCAACACUGCAAGUCCAGGUAAAAGGCAGAACCUGCCCAAGACGCCUCCCCCCCCCCCCCCCCGUGGCUGAGCCAAGCCACUUGCAGCUGGCAAAGACUUUUCCGCACCCCCCCUGAAGGCAGACUCGCAGCACCAAUGUCUGCCUGAAGUGCAGGUGCCCCUCCUUCUUGGCACCAGCAAUUUGGCACCAGCAUUCCUGCCCCCUGC